rnacentral:rRNA from 1 species
GGCGGUGGCUAACACAUGCAAGUCGUGCGAGAAAGUUCUUCGGAUAUGAGUAGAGCGGCGGACGGGUGAGUAACGCGUAGGAAUCUACCUAGUAGAAGGGGAUAGCCCGAGGAAACUCGGAUUAAUACCGUAUACCUCCUUCGGGAGAAAGAAGGCCUCUCUUUGAAGCUUUCGCUACUAGAUGAGCCUGCGUAAGAUUAGCUUGUUGGUGAGGUAAAGGCUCACCAAGGCUACGAUCUUUAGCGGGUCUGAGAGGACGAUCCGCCACAUUGGGACUGAGACACGGCCCAGACUCCUACGGGAGGCAGCAGUGGGGAAUAUUGGACAAUGGGCGAAAGCCUGAUCCAGCCAUACCGCGUGUGUGAAGAAGGCCCUAGGGUUGUAAAGCACUUUAAGUUGGGAAGAAAAGUUAUUGGUUAAUACCCAAUGACCGUGACAUUACCAUCAAGAAUAAGGACCGGCUAAUUCCGUGCCAGCAGCCGCGGUAAUACGGAAGGUCCAAGCGUUAAUUCGGAAUUACUGGGCCGUAAAAGCGCGCGUAGGUGGUUUAUUAAGUUGGGUGUGAAAUCCCCGGGCUCAACCUGGGAACUGCAUUCAAA